rnacentral:rRNA from 1 species
GGGCGGCGAGCGGCGGACGGGUGAGUAAUGGCUGGGAACCUGCCCGAUAGAGGGGGAUAACAGUUGGAAACGACUGCUAAUACCGCAUGAUGUCUACGGACCAAAGGAGGGGAUCUUCGGACCUUUCGCUAUCGGAUGGGCCCAGUUGGGAUUAGCUAGUUGGUGAGGUAAUGGCUCACCAAGGCGACGAUCCCUAGCUGGUUUGAGAGGAUGAUCAGCCACACUGGAACUGAGACACGGUCCAGACUCCUACGGGAGGCAGCAGUGGGGAAUAUUGCACAAUGGGCGCAAGCCUGAUGCAGCCAUGCCGCGUGUGUGAAGAAGGCCUUCGGGUUGUAAAGCACUUUCAGCAGUGAGGAAGGUUACGUAGUUAAUACCUGCGUGAUUUGACGUUAGCUGCAGAAGAAGCACCGGCUAACUCCGUGCCAGCAGCCGCGGUAAUACGGAGGGUGCGAGCGUUAAUCGGAAUUACUGGGCGUAAAGCGCAUGCAGGCGGUUUGUUAAGCAAGAUGUGAAAGCCCCGGGCUUAACCUGGGAACAGCAUUUUGAACUGGCAGGCUAGAGUCUUGUAGAGGGGGGUAGAAUUUCAGGUGUAGCGGUGAAAUGCGUAGAGAUCUGAAGGAAUACCGGUGGCGAAGGCGGCCCCCUGGACAAAGACUGACGCUCAGAUGCGAAAGCGUGGGGAGCAAACAGGAUUAGAUACCCUGGUAGUCCACGCUGUAAACGAUGUCUACUUGGAGGUUGUGACCUAGAGUCGUGGCUUUCGGAGCUAACGCGUUAAGUAGACCGCCUGGGGAGUACGGUCGCAAGAUUAAAACUCAAAUGAAUUGACGGGGGCCCGCACAAGCGGUGGAGCAUGUGGUUUAAUUCGAUGCAACGCGAAGAACCUUACCUACUCUUGACAUCCAGAGAAGCCUGAAGAGAUUUUGGUGUGCCUUCGGGAACUCUGAGACAGGUGCUGCAUGGCUGUCGUCAGCUCGUGUUGUGAAAUGUUGGGUUAAGUCCC